UCCGAGUUGACCCCGGCAGUCUCCCACGAGUCCCCACCACACCGAAGUGCGUGCUGGCAACAUAGGACAAGGGUUGCGCUCGUUGCGGGACUUAACCCAACAUCUCACGACACGAGCUGACGACAACCAUGCACCACCUGCACACGGCCCCAAAGGACCCCGCAUCUCUGCGGGUACACCGUGCAUGUCAAGCCCUGGUAAGGUUCUUCGCGUUGCAUCGAAUUAAGCCGCAUGCUCCGCCGCUUGUGCGGGCCCCCGUCAAUUCCUUUGAGUUUUAGCCUUGCGGCCGUACUCCCCAGGCGGGGCGCUUAAUGCGUUAGCUACGGCACGGAAACCGUGGAAACAGUCCCCACACCUAGCGCCCAACGUUUACAGCGUGGACUAC
rnacentral:misc_RNA from 1 species